GGUAACACGUGGAUAACCUACCUAUAAGACUGGGAUAACUUCGGGAAACCGGAGCUAAUACCGGAUAAUAUUUUGAACCGCAUGGUUCAAAAGUGAAAGACGGUCUUGCUGUCACUUAUAGAUGGAUCCGCGCUGCAUUAGCUAGUUGGUAAGGUAACGGCUUACCAAGGCAACGAUGCAUAGCCGACCUGAGAGGGUGAUCGGCCACACUGGAACUGAGACACGGUCCAG
rnacentral:rRNA from 1 species